GGUAAACCUAAGAGGGAGAGAAGAAGAACUCAUGGGCAAAAGCUAUUUUCGCAACUAUUUGGAAGCCUUCACAAAAUGGGUCAUAACUUCCUGCUCGUAACUCCAAAUCAGGGAGGUUCUCGAAGAGGGAGAUAAGUGAGUUUGAAGAUUGGAGAUUCUUGCUGAAUUUGGAGAAAAAGGGCUUACGGGUUUGAUGGAGAAGAAGGGGAAAAGUCCAUAUUCUUGGCUAAGAUUAAGGAUUAGCGGCUUGUGCUGGGUGAGGAUAACUCGUAGAGUUACUUCGUUUAGUUCGGUUGUGUCGGUGUCAUGCUCUGCUCUUGUAACACUGGGGGACGGGUGUGUCUAGAGUUGGAUGAUAACUCUAGUUUUGGUUUUGUUGUUGAAUAAUGUUGGUUAUGCCUUAAACAUGGUAGAUGAUGGUUUUGAUUAUUCAACUAAUAAAGUAUUCCGCUGUGUUUUAAA